UACGAAGGGGGCUAGCGUUGUUCGGAGUUACUGGGCGUAAAGGGCGCGUAGGCGGCGCACCAAGUCAGGCGUGAAAGCCCUGGGCUCAACCCGGGAAUUGCGCUUGAGACUGGUGUGCUUGAGUACGGGAGAGGAUAGUGGAAUUCCCAGUGUAGAGGUGAAAUUCGUAGAUAUUGGGAAGAACACCAAAGGCGAAGGCAGUGUCCUGGGUGGUCGCUGACGCUGAGAGGCGAAAGCCAGGGGAGCGAACGGG
rnacentral:rRNA from 1 species